UACGUAGGGAGCAAGCGUUUGUCCGGAAUCAUUGGGCGUAAAGCGCGCGUAGGUGGCCACAUAAGUCCGUUUGUGAAAGUCAAAGGCUCAACCUUUUGAAAGCCGAUGGAUACUGUGUGGCUAGAGUACGGAAGAGGCGAGUGGAAUUCCUGGUGUAGCGGUGGAAUGCGCAGAUAUCAGGAGGAACACCGGUGGCGAAGGCGGCAUUCUGGACCGAUAUUGACGUGAGGAGCGAAAAGCCCAGGGGGGAGCAAAACGGGG
rnacentral:rRNA from 1 species